CCCUCCCGGGGAGCCAUUGUUCCUGAGGCGGGCGGGGGCGCGGGCCGGGGUCGGGGAUCCUUCUGGCUGGUCAGACGGCGCCGAGGAUGCUGGAGAGCGCUCCGGGACUGUGUCUCAGAAGCCCUUUGUGAGCCUUUCCCACGCGCCUUCUAACCCUGCACGAGCUCAGGUGGUCUUUCGUGGGUUUUCCAGGUGGAGGUAAAGGCAAAAGGUGACUUGUCCAAGGUGGCUGAACAAGACACAACGAUGAAUAAAUGAAGACAUUCAUUACAGCUUUUGUGUAAUAGUAAAAUAUGGCUCCGUUGGUCAUCAGUGGGACUGAGAUGAGGAAGCAAAGUCCUAAUAAGGUUCAGUCCCUGAGGCUACAUCCGUAAGUUGAGUCGACUGCUUCGCGCCAGCCCUGAGGCCUCCCCACACCACAAACUCGGAGGAGGGAGUCAUCAUGUUCUGAUACAAGAUGGAGGAAAGAUUGGCACCAGCAGGGCGGCAACCAGACUCCUAGCAACAACUGAGAGAACCACUACAGUGCUGUGCUGACUGGAUGCUCUGUGGACAACAAGAUAGAAAGCGGCAGAGCUACAGAGUUCAGCAAAGGAAGCGAGUGAGAGAAAGAGAGCUGACAGUGCCCAGGUAAACGGUGUCUGCCAAGUGUUAGCUCGGCGUGGGAACCUGCAAAUCAACUCCAGACAGGUCCGGAACACCAGGAUAUAAUGUAUAGGGUCCAUGACCCCGGCCACAGUUGUCACCCAGCCUGGACUCAGCCUUCAAGUUUAUGUUCUAAUUUAGCUUCCUGGAAUGAUUUGCUCACAGGGGAAAAGUGUCAAUCAAGGGCAUGGAUUUGGCUCAUGUGGUAAUUACCUUUCUCACUCCGCACAGCACUCUUCGUUUCAGACAGUUUCUUAUGACUUUUAAUUAACAAGAGCCAGUCCCUGAGAGUUCGGUCUACUCUGGGGACACCAGCUUCAGUGUUCUGCAAGCUAAGCAGCCCGGUCCCUAGAGCACCUGUGCAGCCCUGGAGCACAGUGUGCCCUCUGCUGACUGCAGUGAGCUUCCAUAUAAAGAGGUCACUUCCUGUCUUAAAAGAGUCGGGGACUGUUGAAAACCCAUCUCUGAACAUUUAUUUGCACUUGGGGACACGACAUACCCCUUGAGGCCAACCUUCUGAAACUACAAGUUAUCAUUACAACUUUGAUUAUAGAGAGUCUCUUCUUGAUUCUUCAGAACUAUGUGUCUAUGUGUGAUGGUUUGCUCUUUUCCACGGGAGUAUGCUAAGAUUCAAGUUUUGUCCUUAGGAUUUCCCUAAAAUGCCACAAAUAGAAAUUUUGGAUCACAGUGAUUACCGUUGUUUAAAAAAUCAGUAUGAAUCUGAGUGAACGCUAACGGGUGUUUGCUUUAUUUAGUCUCUGUGCUUCUGAUGCACCACUUUUUUUUUUUUUUUUGCUUCUUUUUUUUCGGAGCUGGGGACCGAACCCAGGGCCUUGCCCUUCCUAGGCAAGCGCUCUACCACUGAGCUAAAUCCCCAGCCCCUGAUGCACCACUUUUUAACGGUGCUGUAUUGCCUUUUAAAGAUUCUUUAAUUUAUCUUCACGUGUGUGUCUAUAUGAGGCUAUGUGUAUGAGCAUGUGGGUCCGUAUACACCAGAAAGGGCACAGAUCCCCAGAGACGGAGUUACAGCCAGUUGUACACUGCCCAGUGUGGGUGCUGGGAACAGAACUCUGGUCCUCUGAGGAGUAGUAGCAAGUGCUUGGAACCACAGAGCCAUCUCUCCAGCCACUAAUCUGGACUUCUGUUUUUAAUUAGAAAUAGUUUACUCAUUUAGCAAGCAUGGCCUUUUGAGAGACUUAAUGUAGUACCUGACACAGCAGGCCCUCAAUAAUAACUUUUUUUUUUCUUUUUUUCGGAGCUGGGGACCGAACCCAGGGCCUUGCGCUUGCUAGGCAAGUGCUCUACCGCUGAGCUAAAUCCCCAACCCCAAUAAUAACUUUUUAAAAGACCGGGUUGAGUCAGUGAAUAUAAAUCUUCACAAAUUUCCUUUAAUAAAGUGGAGAUAGUUUGAGCUAAGCAACCGGAGUGCCUCAUGAAUGGCAUGAUACACAUGCAGCUCUUUAUGGUUGAGCAAUAACCGUAAAGAGAGACAGCACAAAACCACGUACUUCUGUUCUGGAUGCCCUAUGCAACACCCCAGCCCGAUACCGUCAUUUUUACGUUUCCUCACUAGUAACCAUUUUACAAUUCAAUCCCAAGCUGCUCCAGCCAGUGUAGCGCGCUGUGUGCGUGCGUGCGGGG
rnacentral:sRNA from 1 species